rnacentral:lncRNA from 10 species
UUUUUUUUUUUUUUGUCUUUUUUUUGUUUUGUUUUUUUGUGCAAUCAAUGACCUAAAUUCUAGGGAAGUUAGGGUAGAACUAGAGAAGACAGGGAAGAGCAAAAGAAAACAAAAUGUGCUCAGUUUGGUUCCGAGGAAGGGUGCGGAAGCUGGAUCCAGAUGGUGGGGGUUUGGGGAACUGGAUAAAUCAAGAGAGUUGAGGUCCUUGGAAAAACUGAAGACGGAUGUUUUCAAGGACAUAGAAACAUGGCUCGUAGCAAUGCUCCUGGAGGCCCAGCAGAGACCAGCAAUACUUGAUCUCGGGGAUCAACAUUAGUGUCUUAAUGCUGGUUAUUGUCCCAAAGUAAGUAAGGUGUGCAGUGUUCAAGAUCUGUCCCAUUCCAAUGAUGAGGAAACCAAGGACCAACAAGAGGUGUGCAUUUUAGAGCCCCUCCCCAUCCCAGGCCAAUGACCACAAAACCGAUUCUGUCCCCCUUCCCCCACAGGUAGUGCCUAUGCUCCUGAUCCUCCCCCAAUGGGACAAGGACAGGCCAUUUGACCCAAGCCUGUUCCUCAAGAGAUUGACAAUAAAAAUGCCCACAUUUUAAAUGUGUACAUGCUACAAUUUUCUGAUUAUAAAAUCAAUACAAGCUUAUUUGAAAAGAACUUGGAUCUGCUGGUAUGUGCACAUCCUUUCUUCUGCAAUGAAUCAAAGGAUUUAUUACCAAUGGUUUCAUCUGGGAAGAUUGUAGGUGAGAAGGAAGAUUUUGGAUUUUGUUUUUGAGCUGUUUUAAAUUGUGUGUGUGUGUGUGUGUGUGCAUGUGUAUGUGUCAAAAAGAUAUCUGGGAAAUGGGAUUGUAGACCACUUCGUUUUGUCUUAUUAUGGUGUCACCUCACUGAUACAGUAAUAAAUUUGGUGUUCCUUUAGUGUAGGUAUGGGAAAUUUCUUCAAAAAUCAACAAUAUUCUUGUCUGGAACACUGAAUUAUUUUCUAGAAUGCAGAUGCAUUGUCGACUUAUAUG